AGNAAGGCACUGAAAAUGCCUAGAUGAGUAUAUUAACUCCAUAAACA
rnacentral:tRNA from 1 species